UACGUAGGGUCCGAGCGUUGUCCGGAAUUACUGGGCGUAAAGAGCUCGUAGGUGGUUUGUCGCGUUGUUCGUGAAAAUUCACAGCUUAACUGUGGGCGUGCGGGCGAUACGGGCAGACUGGAGUACUGCAGGGGAGACUGGAAUUCCUGGUGUAGCGGUGGAAUGCGCAGAUAUCAGGAAGAACACCGGUGGCGAAGGCGGAUCUCUGGGCCUUACCUGACGCUGGAGGCGCGAAAGCUAGGGGAGCGAACAGG
rnacentral:rRNA from 1 species